UACGUAGGGCGCGAGCGUUGUCCGGCAUUAUUGGGCGUAAAGAGCUCGUAGGCGGCUUGUCACGUCGGGUGUGAAAGACCGGGGCUUAACUCCGGUUCUGCAUUCGAUACGGGCUAGCUAGAGUGUGGUAGGGGAGAUCGGAAUUCCUGGUGUAGCGGUGAAAUGCGCAGAUAUCAGGAGGAACACCGGUGGCGAAGGCGGAUCUCUGGGCCAUUACUGACGCUGAGGAGCGAAAGCGUGGGGAGCGAGCAGG
rnacentral:rRNA from 1 species